CUAGGGGGCCAUCCCGGCUUACCAACCCGAUGCAAACUGCGAAUACCGGAGAAUGUUAUCACGGGAGACACACGGCGGGUGCUAACGUCCGUCGUGAAGAGGGAAACAACCCAGACCGCCAGCUAAGGUCCCAAAGUCAUGGUUAAGUGGGAAACGAUGUGGGAAGGCCCAGACAGCCAGGAUGUUGGCUUAGAAGCAGCCAUCAUUUAAAGAAAGCGUAAUAGCUCACUGGUCGAGUCGGCCUGCGCGGAAGAUGUAACGGGGCUAAACCAU
rnacentral:rRNA from 3 species